GCUAACACAUAAGAUGUGUGAAAACAAAGAGUUGUCAGCUUAAUGAUCUGGGAGUUGUAUGGAGAUACAAUUGAUAAUAGUAUCUACCCAAAUAUUAUAUUAGGGCUUGUUGAGUACACUCAAGGUCUUAAUAUAAUAGAUGGGAUCCCAGCCCACUGGGAGUCAAGCAUGGACUCCAUAAAUUUAUGUGAGAGGGUCAUAAAUUUUAUUUAAACAGUGGGAGCAUAAUUAAUUUAAUAAAAG
rnacentral:lncRNA from 1 species